rnacentral:rRNA from 1 species
UGGGGAAUUUUGGACAAUGGGCGAAAGCCUGAUCCAGCAAUGCCGCGUGUGUGAAGAAGGCCUUCGGGUUGUAAAGCACUUUUGUCCGGAAAGAAAUCCUUGGCUCUAAUACAGUCGGGGGAUGACGGUACCGGAAGAAUAAGCACCGGCUAACUACGUGCCAGCAGCCGCGGUAAUACGUAGGGUGCAAGCGUUAAUCGGAAUUACUGGGCGUAAAGCGUGCGCAGGCGGUUUGCUAAGACCGAUGUGAAAUCCCCGGGCUCAACCUGGGAACUGCAUUGGUGACUGGCAGGCUAGAGUAUGGCAGAGGGGGGUAGAAUUCCACGUGUAGCAGUGAAAUGCGUAGAGAUGUGGAGGAAUACCGAUGGCGAAAGGCAGCCCCCUGGGCCAAUACUGACGCUCAUGCACGAAAGCGUGGGGAGCAAAACAGGAUUAGAUACCCCUGGUAGUCCACGCCCUAAAACGAUGUCAACUAGUUGUUGGGGAUUCAUUUCUUAGUAACGUAGCUAACGCGUGAAGUUGACCGCCUGGGGAGUACGGUCGCAAGAUU